rnacentral:misc_RNA from 1 species
GAUGAAGAACGUAGCGAAAUGCGAUAAGUAAUGUGAAUUGCAGAAUUCAGUGAAUCAUCGAAUCUUUGAACGCACAUUGCGCCCGCCAGUAUUCUGGCGGGCAUGCCUGUUCGAGCGUCAUUUGUACCUUCAAGCUCUGCUUGGUGUUGGGUGUUUGUCUCGCCUCUGCGUGUAGACUCGCCUCAAAACAAUUGGCAGCCGGCGUAUUGAUUUCGGAGCGCAGUACAUCUCGCGCUUUGCACUCAUAACGACGACGUCCAAAAGUACAUUUUUACACUCUUGACCUCGGAUCAGGUAGGGAUACCCGCUGAACUUAAGCAUAUCAAUAAGCGGAGGA